GUUUGGAUAGGGUCUUGGAUGGCUUUGAGAUCCUACGAACUACUGUCCCAGUAGCGUCUAUAGCCAGAAUUGAAUUUUCUUGAAUGCAGUAUUGUCUGCACAAGUUAAGCUGGUGAUUAGUCCAAUAAUGCACGAAGAAUAGACUCAGACCAUGCCAAAUACCGUAGAUGGAAUUCGGUAACUACUGGCCUGCUCCCUGAGUGUUUUGACAGCAUACAAGUGCGGAGGCUCAUUGUCAGCAUCGUGGACGUUCAU
rnacentral:misc_RNA from 1 species